GCAAGUCGAACGAUGAUCCGGUGCUUGCACCGGGGAUUAGUGGCGAACGGGUGAGUAACACGUGAGUAACCUGCCCUUAACUCUGGGAUAAGCCUGGGAAACUGGGUCUAAUACCGGAUAUGACUCCUCAUCGCAUGGUGGGGGGUGGAAAGCUUUAUUGUGGUUUUGGAUGGACUCGCGGCCUAUCAGCUUGUUGGUGAGGUAAUGGCUCACCAAGGCGACGACGGGUAGCCGGCCUGAGAGGGUGACC
rnacentral:rRNA from 1 species